rnacentral:tRNA from 1 species
GGAGAGAUGGCUCAGUGGUUAAGAGUGCUUGAUUGAUCUUCCAGAGGUCCCGAGUUCAAUUCCCAGGAACUUGA